AACAUUGUUCUUUUGAAGUCUGACAUGAAGAUGAAAAUUCCUUGAGGAUUGUGAGACACUAGAAUGCAUUACAAAGGAGGGCACGGAAUGGCCUUUAAUGCAGAUCCUUAAGAGGGUAGAGGGCAGCAUUCUUAGUUUCCUUUCCACCCUCUAAUUCCAACAUGCUAUGAAAAUGAUUUUAACUCUGCCUGACUAGCACAAACAAAACUAAACAAUAACAUUGACUUCCUGAUUAUUUAUACCCACUUGCCCCAUGACUUUGUAAUGAGGGGUCUUAGUGGCAAGGACAGUCUUCAUCAUGCUUUGUCCCUCUACUCUGCUUGACAUACAGGUAUGGGCAAGGAUUCUAAAUUUCUCUGCUCCUCUAGCCUUUUGAUGUGUUUGUUCACAAAUACCCGGGCCUUGGGGCAGGGGUAGAGACACCUUCCUUCUGCUGCACUAGGGGGAGUCGCCUUAGGAGGUCAGCUGACCACGUGGAGAGGAGGCUCUGAGAGGUCAGCUGACUGUCUGGGGAGCAGGCUCUGGGAGGUCAGUUGACCACGUGGAGAGGAGGCUCUCGGAGAUCGGCUGACGGCGUAGGGAGAAGGCUCUCUGGUCGGCUGACCGCCUGGAGAGGAGGCUGUGGGAGUUACACGUUGUCUUCAGAAAAAGAGAUUCCCCAGAGCCCCACACAGUGCCUGGCAAAUGUAGCAUGACACAAUUCCUUCAAGACUUCCCAGCCUGCAGGAGGGAGUCGCUGGCUAAACCUGGAUACAGGCCGGGAUGCUACAACUUGCUGGUUGCUCAACUCUAGAUGGUCAACUGUCCGUUCCCAGAGCUUUGGUUUCCUCAUGCUGGCAGAUCAUCACUGAUGUCCAUUCCUUCCAGGUGUUUAGUUCGUAGGCCAGUCCUGAGUUGUUGAGUGAGAAAGUAGGAAGAGUACGCAGUGAUAACAUGAGGAGCAGAACAGAAGACUCUUUUGUGUGACCUGGAACCAAAGGUCAUCAUGCUGGGGCAGAGUGUGGAUAGGAGGCAGAAGGGACUACAUUUCAUGAGCACUUGUUAUAUAUAAGAAGUGUUAUUGGCUGGGCGCGGUGGCUCACGCCUAUAAUCCCAACACUUUGGGAGGCCGAGGCAUGAGGAUCACCUGAGGUCGAGAGUUCGAGACCUCGAGACCAGUCUGGCCAACAUGGUGAAACCCUGUCUCUAUUAAAAAUACAAAAAUGAGCUGCGCGUGGUGGUGUAUGCCUGUAAUCCCAGCUACUUGGGAGACUGAGCAGGAGAAUCGCUUGAACCCAGGAGGCAGAGGUUGUGGUGAGCUGAGAACAUACCAUUGCACUCCAACCUGGGCGACAGAGCAAAACUCUGUCAAAAAGAAAAAAAAAAAAAAAAAAGAAGUGUUAUUGAUGUAUAAUAAAAGCUAAUGUCUGCUGUGCCCCUUUCGUAUGCCUGGAGCUAUGCGUGUACUUUCCAUAUGCAAUCUCAUUGAGCCCAGCAACAAUCCAAUGGGAUGAGGACAGUUGUGCCCAUUCAACAGGAGAGAAAACUGAAGCCUUAGAGGUCACACAGCUCUAGGUGAAGAAGUCAGAACCGCAACCCAAGUCCAACCUGAGAACCUGAGCUCUUGACCACUAACUAAACUCUAACACCUCUCAUUCACUGAGUAGGGAUCUGAAUCCAGGAGACGUAAGUAAUUUGUCCAAAGUCACGUGGCUAAUAAGCAGCAGAGUGAGGAUUUGAAAGCAGAUUUGUCUG
rnacentral:lncRNA from 1 species